GGAUGCUUUCGAGCGAUCC
rnacentral:misc_RNA from 1 species